UACGUAGGGUGCGAGCGUUAAUCGGAAUUACUGGGCGUAAAGGGCGCGUAGGCGGCUCUGUAAGUCAGAUGUGAAAGCCCUGGGCUUAACCUGGGAACUGCAUUUGAUACUGCAAGGCUAGAGAUCGAGAGAGGAAAGUGGAAUUACGAGUGUAGAAGUGAAAUUCGUAGAUAUUCGUAGGAACACCAGUGGCGAAGGCGACUUUCUGGCUCGAUACUGACGCUAAAGCGCGAAAGCGUGGGGAGCAAACAGG
rnacentral:rRNA from 1 species